GACGAACGCUGGCGGCGUGCUUAGCACAUGCAAGUCGAACGGAAAGGCCCUGCUUUUGUGGGGUGCUCGAGUGGCGAACGGGUGAGUAACACGUGAGUAACCUGCCCUUGACUUUGGGAUAACUUCAGGAAACUGGGGCUAAUACCGGAUAGGAGCUCCUGCUGCAUGGUGGGGGUUGGAAAGUUUCGGCGGUUGGGGAUGGACUCGCGGCUUAUCAGCUUGUUGGUGGGGUAGUGGCCUACCAAGGCUUUGACGGGUAGCCGGCCUGAGAGGGUGACCGGCCACAUUGGUACUGAGGUACGGCGCAGACUCCUACGGGAGGCAGCAGUGGGGAAUAUUGCACAAUGGGCGGAAGCCUGAUGCAGCAACGCCGCGUGCGGGAUGACGGCCUUCGGGUUGUAAACCGCUUUCGCCUGUGACGAAGCGUGAGUGACGGUAAUGGGUAAAGAAGCACCGGCUAACUACGUG
rnacentral:rRNA from 1 species